CUCAAAUGAAUUGACGGGGGCCCGCACAAGCGGUGGAGCAUGUGGUUUAAUUCGGUGCAACGCGAAGAACCUUACCUACUCUUGACAUCCACAGAAGAGACCAGAGAUGGACUUGUGCCUUCGGGAACUGUGAGACAGGUGCUGCAUGGCUGUCGUCAGCUCGUGUUGUGAAAUGUUGGGUUAAGUCCCGCAACGAGCGCAACCCCUAUCCUUAUUUGCCAGCACGUAAGGGUGGGAACUCUAGGGAGACUGCCGGUGAUAAACCGGAGGAAGGUGG
rnacentral:rRNA from 1 species